ACACGGCACACGGUCAAACAUUCGCCUGUCCAACCCGUGACUGGGGGGAUGCCGCGUGGAGCCAAUAGAAAGCCUUGUGCAGCCGCUAUAAGAGCACGCCCGUUGCCUUUCCACAUGCGGGAGUGUUACCGUUGGGUGGCGACAUCC
rnacentral:snoRNA from 1 species